UUGGGACCUGCCACGGCUCACUGCAGAAGG
rnacentral:piRNA from 1 species